GUUGCAGUAAGGCUGGUACUGAU
rnacentral:miRNA from 1 species